CAGUAGCCACGGUAACACGAAGGGGGCUAGCGUUGCUCGGAAUGACUGGGCGUAAAGGGCGCGUAGGCGGCGGCCAAAGUCAGGCGUGAAAUUCCCGGGCUCAACCUGGGGGCUGCGUUUGAUACUUGGUUGCUUGAGUGGGGAAGAGGGUCGUGGAAUUCCCAGUGUAGAGGUGAAAUUCGUAGAUAUUGGGAAGAACACCGGUGGCGAAGGCGGCAACCUGGUCCUUGACUGACGCUGAGGCGCGAAAGCGUGGGGAGCAAACAGGAUUAGAUACCCGCGUAGUCCCUGUCUCUUAUAU
rnacentral:rRNA from 1 species